rnacentral:miRNA from 1 species
UGAGAUCAUGGUGAAA